rnacentral:rRNA from 1 species
AUUGAACGCUAGCGGGAGGCUUUACACAUGCAAGUCGAACGAGUGGCGGACGGGUGAGUAAUAUAUCGGAACGUGCCCAGUAGAGGGGGAUAACUACUGGAAACAGUGGCUAAUACCGCAUACUAUUGGAUCUGCCCAUAUGGGAUUAGCUAGUUGGUGGGGUAAAGGCUCACCUAGGCAACGAUCCGUAGCUGGUCUGAGAGGAGGACCAGACAAACUGGUACUGAGACACGGACCAGAAUCCUACGGAAGGAAGCAGUGGGGAAUAUGGGACAAUGGGGGAAAACCUGAUGCAGCGAUCCCGAGUGUAUGAUGAAGGCCUUCGGGUUGUAAAGUACUUUUGGCAGGGAGGCGUUACCUGCAGAAGAAGCACCGGCUAACUACGUGCCAGCAGCCGCGGUAAUAC